rnacentral:tRNA from 1 species
GGGUCUGUAGCGCAAUUGGCUAGCGCACCUGACUCUUAAUCAGGGGGUUGUGGGUUCGAUCCCCACCAGACCCA